UACGUAGGGUGCGAGCGUUGUCCGGAAUUAUUGGGCGUAAAGAGCUCGUAGGCGGUUUGUCGCGUCGGCCGUGAAAACCUGCAGCUUAACUGUGGGCCUGCGGCCGAUACGGGCAGACUUGAGUUCGGUAGGGGAGACUGGAAUUCCUGGUGUAGCGGUGAAAUGCGCAGAUAUCAGGAGGAACACCGGUGGCGAAGGCGGGUCUCUGGGCCGAUACUGACGCUGAGGAGCGAAAGCGUGGGGAGCGAACAGG
rnacentral:rRNA from 1 species